GGCUGCUUUGUGAAGAAGGAAGAGUCAGAACCCUGAGGAGUUGCCCAUGAGAAACACCAGGAAGGUCCCACCUGCAGUGCUGCAUCCAGCUCUGGGGCCCCCAGCACGAAACCUGGACCUCAAGAUCAGGGAAAAUCCAUUACCUGGAUUUUCUUCACUGGGUUCAGCAGCUAAAGGGCAAAACCCAGAGAGAGCAACUCAGUUUUUGCUGAUCCAUUAACUUCUCUCCAUGGGGCCUAAAGAUGUACUAUUGUUUUCCUCAAAAUCCAGGGAGCCAUACUCACCACAGCAAAGCAAACCAGACUUUCUGCAGAAAAAGGUAAAGCAAAGAGGCACUGGCUGCAACAGCUCCUUCAACCUCCUUUGUCAUUGCCAAAUUUGAAAAGCAGAGAAGCCCUGGAAUCAUGUUUUUCCACUGUGAAAUAUAACCCAGUGCCAGCUGGUGUUUGGUUUGGCAGUUUCUCAAAGGAGAAGAAAUUGAUUUAAAUCUUUAUAGGUAAAAAAGACCUGUUUCUGCCUUUAUAUUUCCCAUGAUGAGCUUAAAAGUUUUAUGGGAUGGUGCUUUCAAACCUGUAAUUUUCCUGACAGUUCUUUGAAGGAUGUACUUCUCAUUCCACUUCUGCCCCUUAGAGGAUGCUCAGGACAGAAACUUCCCCUGGGCUCAGAAAGGGCUCCAUGGCUGUUUGCAGCUCGUGUAUGGAGGGAGGGUGAUGAGAUCUGGAGGUCUGUGCAACUGAAGGUUAAACAAUUAAUAACAUCAGCUAAAUAAAUGG